rnacentral:rRNA from 1 species
AACGCUGGCGGCGUGCCUAAUACAUGCAAGUCGAGCGAGCUUGCCUAGAUGAAUUUGGUGCUUGCACCAAAUGAAACUAGAUACAAGCGAGCGGCGGACGGGUGAGUAACACGUGGGUAACCUGCCCAAGAGACUGGGAUAACACCUGGAAACAGAUGCUAAUACCGGAUAACAACACUAGACGCAUGUCUAGAGUUUAAAAGAUGGUUCUGCUAUCACUCUUGGAUGGACCUGCGGUGCAUUAGCUAGUUGGUAAGGUAACGGCUUACCAAGGCAAUGAUGCAUAGCCGAGUUGAGAGACUGAUCGGCCACAUUGGGACUGAGACACGGCCCAAACUCCUACGGGAGGCAGCAGUAGGGAAUCUUCCACAAUGGACGCAAGUCUGAUGGAGCAACGCCGCGUGAGUGAAGAAGGGUUUCGGCUCGUAAAGCUCUGUUGGUAGUGAAGAAAGAUAGAGGUAGUAACUGGCCUUUAUUUGACGGUAAUUACUUAGAAAGUCACGGCUAACUACGUGCCAGCAGCCGCGGUAAUACGUAGGUGGCAAGCGUUGUCCGGAUUUAUUGGGCGUAAAGCGAGUGCAGGCGGUUCAAUAAGUCUGAUGUGAAAGCCUUCGGCUCAACCGGAGAAUUGCAUCAGAAACUGUUGAACUUGAGUGCAGAAGAGGAGAGUGGAACUCCAUGUGUAGCGGUGGAAUGCGUAGAUAUAUGGAAGAACACCAGUGGCGAAGGCGGCUCUCUGGUCUGCAACUGACGCUGAGGCUCGAAAGCAUGGGUAGCGAACAGGAUUAGAUACCCUGGUAGUCCAUGCCGUAAACGAUGAGUGCUAAGUGUUGGGAGGUUUUCGGCCUGUCAGUGCUGCAGCUAACGCAUUUAAGCAAUCCGCCUGGGGAGUGCGACCGCAAGGUUGAAACUCAAAGGAAUUUGACGGGGGCCCGCACAAGCGGUGGAGCACGUGGUUUAAUUCGAGGCAAUCGCGAAGAACCUUAGCAGGUCUUGACAUCCAGUGCAAACCUAAGAGAUUAGGUGUUCCCUUCGGGGUCGCUGAGACAUGUGGUGCAUGGCUGUUUUCAGCUGGUGUCGUGAGAUGUUGGGUUAAGUCCCGCAACGAGCGCAACCCUUGUCAUUAGUU